CCUACGGGGGGCAGCAGUGAGGAAUAUUGGUCAAUGGGAGAGAUCCUGAACCAGCCAAGCCGCGUGAGGGAAGACGGCCCUAUGGGUUGUAAACCUCUUUUGUCGGAGAACAAAACCCGGGACGUGUCCCGGACUGCGUGUAUCCGAAGAAAAAGCAUCGGCUAACUCCGUGCCAGCAGCCGCGGGAAUACGGAGGAUGCGUGCGUUAUCCGGAUUUAUUGGGUUUAAGGGGUGCGUAGGCGGUCCGUUAAGUCAGCGGGAAAAUUGCGGGGCUAAACCCCGUCGAGCCGUUGAAACUGGCAGACUUGAGUUGGCGAGAAGUACGCGGAAUGCGCGGUGUAGCGGUGAAAUGCAUAGAUAUCGCGCAGAACUCCGAUUGCGAAGGCAGCGUACCGGCGCCAGACUGACGCUGAGGCACGAAAGCGUGGGGAUCGAACAGGAUUAGAUACCCUAGUAGUC
rnacentral:rRNA from 1 species